UUUCAGCUCCCGCUCAUUCUAAACGAUUUACCAGAGAUCACAAUUAAGAAAAUGCUUGAAACAAUGCAUGUACUAUUUCUAGUUAGGGUACUUUUUAGAGCAGAAGUGAAAUUAAUAUCUGGACAAGAUACACAGGAGAAAACAGAAGAAUAGUUUGAAAAGAUUAGGCAGCGCCUUUAGUAUACAAUACCUGAAACCAGGCUUCAGAAGGCAG
rnacentral:misc_RNA from 1 species